UCGAAGAAAUUGAACUAGUAUUAAGCAAUGUGAAUAAUUACCCCGAAACUAACAUUUAACUCAUCUAUUUAAUCAUGUGGGAAAUCCAUCCAAGAUAAAAACCAAAUGAAAGACGAAUAAGAAAUCACAAUUCAAGAGGCUGUCUUGAGCCGGGAUGAAGCGACACUAGCUGUUGCAUAAACAGGGUGAAGCUCAUAUCCAUCCUUGGGCUCAACAUGUACCCACUUGCGACCGCUGAGCUUGUUUGUCUCAAAUUUGACAUUUCCUUCCUUCAGAGCAUAAAGGGUGUGAUCCUUCCCCAUCCCAACGUAGUUUCCAGGGUGAAAUCGAGUUCCUCGCUGCCGAACUAUGAUAUUUCCAGGUAUCACCUUCUCCCCGCCAAAUUUCUUCACUCCAAGAUUCUUAGGUUUCGAGUCUCGUCCAUUCUUGGUAGAUCCAGCCGUCUUCUUUGUAGCCCAACGCCUUAAAAUCAAGCUUAAUCCACCAGCAGAGCCAUCUGUAAGGCUUGCAUACACAGGAACAUUGGAGACAAGCUCUUUCACCUUCAGACGAUUGCAGAUGAUUGUCGUAAAAUUCGACAUUUUCAAUCAGCAGGAUUCAAAUCUGGAACACCGUGAUUAUUAGAAUCUUUCUA
rnacentral:misc_RNA from 1 species